rnacentral:lncRNA from 1 species
CUGGACUUGAUUUUACCAAAGAUAAUGAGAACGUAAUUCCCAGGCAUUCAUUUGUUGGAAAGAUCAUUUCUAAUAUUAUGUCGAAACAAUAUACAAAGCACGACUGAAAGUCAAAUCAAAGGCCAUUACUUGAAUGCUACUACGGGUACAUGGGAAGAAAUUAUCAAAAUAUAAUUUGGAUUAUUACAUUAGUAGCAAGGACUCAAAAUAACACAAAUCGAUUUAUCAAAAAGAAAUUCAACGACUAAAAAAAAGACUAAUUCUUUCGCGCCCUUCAUUUCUUUAUAUGGAAUGGAAACAUAAUGAAACCGAUUUUCAAAAUGUCUUAAAUAUUACUCGAUAUCCUGGAACAUCAAAGGCCGAAGACGACGACAUGACUAGAUCUGCAAGCAAAUAAAAGUUGGAAACUCAUUUUACCAAAUCAAAGACGAGUGAUCAAGAUACAAAGUUGAGUAACCCAUAAUACAUUUACUUAUAUAUAUUUCUAAAGAACUUAUAACUGUGCCACAUGACUGCGAGACUACUAUAGGCUACUUCCUAGUCUCCUUUACAGAUUAUAUAUCAACUUCUUGUUGCUCUCUCUCUCUCUCUCUCUCUUAUUUAUUUAUUUAUUUUGGGACAAACAGUUAGUUCGGAAAUGUUAAUAUUAUUCCUCUAGUACUUGUAAGUUUGUAACCUUUUUAAAUUACAAUCAAACAGAGCCAACAUCCUCACCUGAUACGCCAUUAAGUCACCACCCAUUCAUUUAUACAUACAUAAGAUGACCUUUUAAGAACAAAAUUAAGAUUUAAUGACCCGAGAAUCGCAGUCGAUACUAAGAUUAUGCUUACCAGAGCUGUUAUGAUUUUCAUAGCAGAAAUUAACUUAAGAAUAUUUUUCUUGGCAUACAUUUCAUAGAAAAAAAAUCAGAAUACUGACGUAUCAAGAGACAUUGAACUUCCAAGAAUAUUACACAUAAAAUGACUGGGUUUUCUAUUAAUUAAUGAAAAUUCACAUCCCGCACUAAAGCAUAAUUAAGCAGAUUGUUGUACCAGUUUCAUAGCACAUGACAGGCCAAAGCCAAAAACUUAUAUUUGAAAACUGAUGAAAAUCUGAGAAUUUUUCUGUACAUUUCAAAAGACGUACACAUAAUAGAGCCGCUAAAAUUUUUUAUGAUUUUACUUUAAUACAUCCAUCUGCAAUGAGAAAUAUACAUCACCUUUAAGAGCAACAAGAUGAACUGGCUGCCCUCUCUGCUGGUCUCUGAUUAUCCACAAGAACCAUGCCUGACGGGUUUGGUGCUGGCUGCAGACGAGGCAGUCUCUUUGCUGUUGAUGCACAACAAUAUUAGAAAGUAAGAAAAAAUAUGAAAAGGAUUCAGUAUGGUCUUUGCGGCACAAUCGAUGUUAGUAUUGUUAAAUGUCAUAUGAUAGAAACUUUAUAGUACGAUUCCCAGAACAGAAUGCAACGGUGUGAAGAAGAAAAAACACACCAAAAAUAAAAUAAAAAAUAAAAUAAAAUAGAAUAAGAAGGGAACAACAAUGGAGAUAUUUACAACAGUUCUGAGAAAUUUUCAGUUGAAUUUUUGCAUUAUGUAGCAGUAGCAUGUACAAAAAUACUCAUUCUUACUAAGCCCCUAUGUGCUUUAGCUAAAAAUCAGACUUUUAGUAGAUUUUCAUAAAAAUUGAUCAAUUAUGUGUUAGAAAAGUUGAUAGAAGUUGUAGAUCCCAUGAAAUGUGUGGUUGAAAAUGAGAUUAACGAAAAAUGAAUUUGACGAAAAACGAGGCUAAACAGGGGCUAAGUAACUCCAGGGGCCUUAUAAUUUCUGUUACAGGAACCAGAUGCUGGACAAGCUGUGAUUUGAACUAAGAGUGUGUUUGAUUGACAUGGAAAAUAUUACAUAGAAAAGAAAAUGUUUUCCAUCUUUUGUGGAAAAUAAAAACCACCUCUAGCCAAGGAAAAUAUUUUCCUUAAAAACAAGGAAAAUUAGGCAUAUUUUCAAAAGUUGGAAAAUGUUUUCCAUGGAAAAAAAUAGCAAUCAAACACUCCAAGUAGGAAUUUGGGUGGAAAAUUGAUAUUUUCCAUGGAAAAUAAAUGUAAUCAAACACAUCCUAAAAGAAAGCAGGCGGUGGUUUUAGCUGUUUCUGUCAAUAUUAUUGAAUGAACACGGAAUGUACUACACAACUGAAAAUUGCAUUUGUGUUUAUAAUUCUCCGUUGAAAGUAAAGACAGGAAGGAAUUACAGUUCAAGAACCCUGACACUCUCUCACAAACUCUCCUAUUCUGGAUGAAUCCCCAGAAUAAAAUCCAACCCCGUUUUAUAUAAUCGAAGCUUAGCCUUAAUCUGUAAGAUUCCCCAAUUUACCCCCUAACAAACUAAUGUAAAGAUGUAAUAACAAAAACUCCUGCAUGUGCACUCUGCUGCAUGUGAGAAUGGCUGCCUUGCUUAUUCUGCCUCGCGUAUGUAAUCUUAGCUAACCUUUUUUUUCUUAUCAAUAACUUCCAUGAAAUGUUCUAAGCCCAAAACUCCAAGAAAAGCCAAGGCUAGGGUAAUCGAAUGGAGAUAUUGAAAUUCACUCUCUCUAACCACUAGCUGUACAUUAGUUUUACCAGACUAUCAUAAAGAGUUAGUAUUCCUGUCACCCAAUUUUAUAAUUACACGACUUCUAAAUAUUUAGUAUUUGCAGAUCAAAUUGAAUAAUUAGGCAUGGGUGCAAAAAUUUCAAGUGUGUUUUCUAUGUUUCAAUAUAUUAUUCUAUAUAGUAUUAAUUGGAAUGUUUGACUAUUAUUCAAUAGGGUAAUUGGCACAGGACACCUUGUCCUUUCCAUGUUUCGUGCAAUCAAUCAUAUCCUUUCGUUUAAGCGUGAUACACCCUCAAAUCAACCAAACAUUGUGUAAAACAAUCCUAUCGCCCAAUUCCACCAUCAAAGCUUUGUAAAUUGAUGAUUUACCCUUGUCUUUAAUAAACAAAAAGAAAAGAAAUAAUUACAGUCAAAGUCACAAUUUUUUUCAAAAAGUGCAAACAAGUUCCAAUUAAAAUAAAUGAAAGAUGAGAAGAAUAUUCAAAAAAAAAAAAAAAAAAAAAAAUUUUU